GCCUACUCAGCUCAGUCGGUAGAGCAUUAGACUUUUAAUCUGAGGAUCGGGGUUCGAGUCCCACAAAAGGCG
rnacentral:tRNA from 1 species